rnacentral:tRNA from 1 species
AUUCUUAUAGUUGAAUGAACAACGAUAGUUUUUCAAGUUGUUGGUCUUGGUUAAAGCCCAGGUGAGAAUA